rnacentral:rRNA from 1 species
CCUUCGAGAGUGGCGAACGGGUGAGUAAUAUAUCGGAACGUGCCCAGUCGUGGGGGAUAACGUAGAGAAAUUUACGCUAAUACCGCAUACGAUCUAAGGAUGAAAGCGGGGGACUUCGCAAGAGGCCUCGCGCGAUUGGAGCGGCUGAUAUCAGAUUAGCUUGUUGGUGAGGUAAAAGCUCACCAAGGCGACGAUCUGUAGCUGGUUUGAGAGAACGACCAGCCACACUGGGACUGAGACACGGCCCAGACUCCUACGGGAGGCAGCAGUGGGGAAUUUUGGACAAUGGGCGAAAGCCUGAUCCAGCAAUGCCGCGUGCAGGAAGAAGGCCUUCGGGUUGUAAACUGCUUUUGUACGGAACGAAAAGGCUCGCUUUAAUAAAGUGGGCCCAUGACGGUACCGUAAGAAUAAGCACCGGCUAACUACGUGCCAGCAGCCGCGGUAAUACGUAGGGUGCGAGCGUUAAUCGGAAUUACUGGGCGUAAAGCGUGCGCAGGCGGUGAUGUAAGACAGUUGUGAAAUCCCCGGGCUCAACCUGGGAAUUGCAUCUGUGACUGCAUCGCUAGAGUACGGUAGAGGGGGAUGGAAUUCCGCGUGUAGCAGUGAAAUGCGUAGAUAUGCGGAGGAACACCGAUGGCGAAGGCAAUCCCCUGG